UACGUAGACCUCGAGCGUUAUCCGGAUUUACUGGGCGUAAAGCGUGCGUAGGUGUCUUUGUAAGUCUCUGGUGAAAUCUCCGGGCUCAACUCGGAAAUGGUCAGGGAAACUGCAAGGAUCGAGUACGGCAGAGGCAGAUGGAAUGGUUGGUGUAGCGGUAAAAUGCGUUGAUAUCAACCAGAACACCAGUGGCGAAGGCGAUCUGCUGGGCCUGUACUGACACUGAGGCACGAAAGCGUGGGUAGCGAACGGG
rnacentral:rRNA from 1 species